rnacentral:rRNA from 1 species
AAAACCGACACAGGUGGGUGGGUCGAGUAGACCAAGGCGCGCGAGAGAAACCUCUCUAAGGAACUCGGCAAAAUAGCCCCGUAACUUCGGGAGAAGGGGUACCCACUUCGGUGGGUCACAGUAAAUUGGGUUUAGCGACUGUUUAACAAAAACACAGCACUCUGCCAAGUUGUGAAAACAACGUAUAGGGUGUGACACGUGACCAAUGCGGAAAGAUCAAGGUGACUUGUUAGCCGCAAGGCGAAGCUCGGAGCCAAAGUCCCCGUGAAUGUCGGCCGUAACUAUAACGGUCCUAAGGUAGCGAAAUUCCUUGUCGGGUAAGUUCCGACCUGCACGAAUCGUGUAACGACUGAACCGCUGUCUCGGAGAGGAUCUCGGCGAAAUUGUAACGGCGGUGAAGAUGCCGCCUGCCCGCAGUAGGACGGAAAGACCCUAUGCACCUUUACUGUAAGCUGGUAUUGUGUUCUGAUUAAUGAUGCGUAGCGUAGGUGGGAGACCUUGAAGCCAUGGUUUCGGUUGUGGCUGAGUCGCAAUGUGAAACACCACUCUUUGUUAAUUAGGAUUCUAACCCUAUGCUGUUAGCCAGCUAGGGGACAGUGCCUGCGGGUCAGUUUGACUGGGGCGGUUUCCUCCCAAAGGGUAACGGAGGAGCGCUAAGGUACUCUCAGCAUGGUUUGCAACCAUGCGUCGAGCGUAUGGGUAGAAGAGUGCUUAACUGCGAGACCAACAAGUCGAGCAGAUACGAAAGUAGGCCCAAAUGAUCCGAUGGUUGAAUAUGGAAUUGCCAUCGCUCAACGGACAAAAGGUACGCUAGGGAUAACAGGCUGAUCGGAUCCAAGAGUUCAUAUCGACGAUCCGGUUUGGCACCUCGAUGUCGGCUCAUCGCAUCCUGGGGCUGGAGAAGGUCCCAAGGGUCCGGCUGUUCGCCGGUUAAAGCGGUACGCGAGCUGGGUUCAGAACGUCGUGAGACAGUUCGGUCCUUAUCCACUGUGGGCGCAGGAAACUUGAGGGGUUCAUUCUCUAGUACGAGAGGACCGAGAAUGACGCACUUCUGGUGUGGCAGUUGUUCCGUCAGGGGCAGCGCUGCGUAGCCAUGUGCGGAAGAGAUAAGCGCUGAAAGCAUCUAAGUGCCAAGCUCAUCCCAAGAUAUUGUUUCCCGGACGCAAGUCCCUAAAGACUCCAUGUAGACCACGUGGUUGAUAGGUCAGGCGUGUAAGUGCCGCAAGGUACUCAGCGGACUGAUACUAAUUAGUCGUGCGGCUUGAUCGC